AGCGAACGCUGGCGGCAGGCCUAACACAUGCAAGUCGAACGAAGCCUUCGGGCUUAGUGGCGGACGGGUGAGUAACACGUGGGAACGUACCUUUUGGUUCGGAACAACUCAGGGAAACUUGAGCUAAUACCGGAUGAGCCCUUAGGGGGAAAGAUUUAUCGCCGAAAGAGCGGCCCGCGUUAGAUUAGCUAGUUGGUGAGGUAAAGGCUCACCAAGGCUACGAUCUAUAGCUGGUCUGAGAGGAUGAUCAGCCACACUGGGACUGAGACACGGCCCAGACUCCUACGGGAGGCAGCAGUGGGGAAUCUUGCGCAAUGGGCGAAAGCCUGACGCAGCCAUGCCGCGUGAAUGAUGAAGGUCUUAGGAUUGUAAAAUUCUUUUACCAGGGACGAUAAUGACGGUACCUGGAGAAAAAGCCCCGGCUAGCUUCGUGCCAGCCGCCGCGGUAAAAC
rnacentral:rRNA from 1 species